GCACCAGUGGUGUAUGGCACAUGCAGUCACCUCGUAAACUGUUCCUUUAUGAGCAGUGAUUGAGUACGGGGUUCGAUUCCCCACUGGUGCA